ACCAGCACUGGACCCUGACCUGGGCCACAACACCAGGCCCAAGCCUCAAACUGCCAGCCAAGAGAUUCUGAAACAGCAGCUCCUAUAGGAGUCUGUACUUCCUGAUCCUCCUGAGGAACCAGCUCCAUUGGCACCAGGUAAGGCCUGGCAGAAUGUGCCAAGACACAAUUCGAGGUGUGGAGCUGCUGAAGAGGAAAACAGGAGUCCUCGGAGCAGCAGAAUCCACAACUCUGCCUCCUUCUCCCCUCUCUCCUGUUCAUCAUCUCAUGCUAGAACAGCCUCAUUACUCAGAGGGGGCAGACAAGAAGCACUGCCUUCAAACACUUCACAACAGAGGAACACUCCUGGCAACGGCUGAGAAUGGGCGUGUCUCCAAAGGGAUGCAUUUGUAGGAAGACAAAUGCCAUCUGGCCAGAACUGCAGUGCAGUACUAGCAGAGCAGCUUUAGAGGAACAGAGCCAAAACAGCCAAGCUGCGAGGAAGGAAAAUGUGCGUAGA